ACUUAAAUAGCUUAUAUAAGAGCAUAGUAUUGAAGAUACUAAGGAAAAUAGUUAUUUUUUAAGUA
rnacentral:tRNA from 1 species